rnacentral:rRNA from 1 species
GUCUUUUUGUUAAUUAUAUAAGGUUUGGCCUGCUCCAUGAUUAAAUUAAAUAGCCGCAGUAUUUUGACUGUGCAAAGGUAGCAUAAUCAUUAGUUUUUUAAUUGAAAGCUGGAAUGAAUGGUCGGAUGAGAAAGAAUCUGUCUCAUUUUUAUUUGGUUUGAAUUUUAUUUUUAAGUUAAAAAGCUUAAAUUUUAUAGAAAGACGAGAAGACCCUGUAGAGUUUAAUAAGUUAAUAAUUUAAUUAUUAAAGGAUUUAAGUAUAAUUAAUUAAUUGCUUGUUUUGUUGGGGUGACAUGAGAAUUGACUUAACUUCUUAUAAUUUUUACAUUGAUUUAUGAAUGAAUGAUCCUGAUUUUUGGAUUUAAAGAAAAAAUUACCUUAGGGAUAACAGCGUAAUCUUUUUGGAGAGUUCUAAUCGAUAAAGGGGAUUGCGACCUCGAUGUUGGAUUAAAGUUAAAUUUUGGUGUAGAAGCUGGGAUUUUGAGUCUGUUCGACUUUUAAAACUUUACAUGAUCUGAGUUUAAACCGGCGUGAGCCAGGUUGGUUUCUAUCUUUUAUACAUAACAUAUCUUAGUACGAAAGGACCAGGUAUUUAAAUAAUAUUUUUGAUUUGAAUGAAAUUGUUGUUUUGGCAGACUAGUGCGAUAGAUUUAGAAUCUUUAUAUGUAAUUAUAUUACAAAUAACAAUUUAUUUUUUUGACUUGAUUUUGUUGUUUAUUUCGGUGCUAAUUUUAAUUAUUUGUGUUUUAGUGGGGGUAGCAUUUUUGACUCUUUUGGAGCGGAAGGUCUU